AGAGCCCAGAGCCCUGCUGAUGUCCCGGGGCAGAAAUAGCCCGUUUCAUCAUCGGCUCUGGACGACCGCCGCCCGCAUUCCUCGAGUAAGGAGCCGUCCUCUGCUGUGCUUUUGGAGCAGAAUAAUCUGCAGCUAGGGGAAGGCCAGGCUGGGUCUCAGGGUGAGAGUUACAGAAGGAUAUGAAAUAAUCGGGGAAGAGGCAAGUUACAGCGGGUAUCCUGAUGCAGACCAUCCCCAGCCAGAAACACAGCCGCAGAACUGAGCCCAAGCUCCAGACCAAAAACUGAGCCCAAGCUCAGGGUCUGCAUGGCCCAGAGCUGGCAUCUGUCCGGGGGACUGGCCCAGGCAAAGUGACCACUGUCAUCCAGUCCAGGAGCUGUGAGCUGCAUGGAAAGAAUGUGAAUGAAGACACAACUCUAAAUGUGGAACCAUGGACGCUAUGUGAGCCAGUGUGCUCCCUAGCCGUCCAGAAAAACAAGGCCCACUUGUACAUUCUGCAAGAGCAUAAAUAAAGCUGUCCUCAGGCGGCGUGCUGUGGUGGCCCAUCCUUGCAGUGGCUUCACUGGCUGCACCCCUCAGCAAGGCCUCUGGAACACUGUGAGGGCAGCACACCCACCCAACAGCGUGGGUAAAAAACGGUCUAGCUAUGGCCUUGCCGCACGUGGUGAUCGCUAACUUAAUUUUGCAGCAAAUUU